UCGUGUCGUCGUCGUGGAGUCAAAAUGGGGGUUUGCAGCGAUGAGGAGGAGCGCGUGUCUGGUGAGAGGGAUGAGAGGGGUGGCGUUUGGGUUGAUCCUGCUGUUUCAAUCCCUGCUUGGCCUUGUGGGCUUGCUGUGCUCGACAGUCAUCCCCAGCGCGGGCGGAUUGAGCAUUAGGGAUUGGAUUAGCUGGGCGUUUGUGUUUCAGGCUGUCGUUUACACGGGGUUUAUGACGAUUCUGAUGCUAUACAGUGUGGCGGCCACUGCGGUGCUGUUUAUGUAUUGCAAGGCUUUGCAGGGGGAGCUUGCGUUUGAGAUUGCUGAGGAGUUCGCGCAGGAGUACAUCCGGCUGCCAUUCGAUGAUGGCAAGCUUUCCCAUGUUGUCUACGUCGUGUAGCUCUGCCAGUUGGAUAAUGCACACAGAGAGAGUGAUGAUGAUGAUGUAUAAAGUAUAUCAUGGGUCACAUUCGAGCUGAAAAUGUGUGUUGCAUGAGGGAUGCCUUGGCUUGGUUCAGUAUUGUUAGAAGUAGAGUAGUACUCUGUUUGAAUCUCUUUUGUCAUGUACAUUCCAUAUCUUAUAAUGUUCUUUCAAACUCAACAUUUUCUUGCUUCAAUCUUUUCUUAUCAAUGUACAUUUUGUACCUGUUCUCAUUUA